rnacentral:rRNA from 1 species
GUGAGGAAUUUUCCGCAAUGGGCGAAAGCCUGACGGAGCAAUGCCGCGUGAAGGAUGAAGGCCUAUGGGUUGUAAACUUCUUUUCUCAGAAAAGAAUUAUGACGGUAUCUGAGGAAUAAGCAUCGGCUAACUCUGUGCCAGCAGCCGCGGUAAGACAGAGGAUGCAAGCGUUAUCCGGAAUGAUUGGGCGUAAAGCGUCUGUAGGUUGUUUAAAAAGUAUUCUGUCAAAGAUUAGGGCUUAACCCUAGAUAGGCAGAAUAAACUUUUAAGCUAGAGUUUGGUAGAGGCAGAGGGAAUUCCCGGUGGAGCGGUGAAAUGCGUAGAUAUCGGGAGGAACACCAAAGGCGAAGGCACUCUGCUGGGCCAAUACUAACACUGAGAGACGAAAGCGAGGGGAGCAAAUGGGAUUAGAUACCCGUAGUAGUCC